GUCAAACCCGCCAUACGGAGUAAAGGCAAUGUGACGACAAACGGUGACGUAACACUAGUUCUUGAGGUAGAAAUUAAAUUUAGAGAUACCAGAAAGAAGACAGGAGUGAGCGGCGAAUCUCUCUGGGAGUUGUCUGCCUGGAUUGCUCCUGUAAACACUACUCACAGUAACACGAGGCUGGAUUUCAACGAGCAAGUUCUCAAUGUUGAUCAAGCAUCGCAGUGGUACAUCAAAGGAGAUCAAUUCAUCUUUCGGGACGUCGUGUAUCCCUCCAGUGCUCUGCCUUUAAACUGCGACGAGGCCAACGUCUGUGUUGAGCUUAAACGUGGAAAAAAUGCAGUAGCAACCGAUGAUCGUCCUUUCCAUGUUAGCAGUUUCCCCAAAAGGUCUACAUCGUUGAUUGGCUGCACUUCACUAUGUACUGACGUGACAGUGCGUAAUGUCAACCCUACCAUUCAAAGUCAACGUAGUGUGACAUCCGAC